rnacentral:rRNA from 1 species
GAAAUGCGAUAAGUAAUGUGAAUUGCAGAAUUCAGUGAAUCAUCGAAUCUUUGAACGCACCUUGCACCCCUUGGUAUUCCGAGGGGUAUGCCUGUUUGAGUGUCAUGGUAUUCUCAACCCCCAAAUUCUUUAUUGAGUUGUGGAGGGCUUGGAUUUGGAGGCUGUGCUGGCUUUGUUCAGCUCCUCUGAAAUAUAUUAGUGUGAAUCUUAUGGAUCGCCUUCAGUGUGAUAAUUGUCUACGCUGUGGUUGUGAAGUAUAAACUUGUAUUCAUGCUUCUAAUCGUCUUUUAAACAAGACACUUAACCAUUUGACAUCUGACCUCAAAUCAGGUAGGACUACCCGCUGAACUUAA